CUGAAUGUUUAACCUCACAAUUUGAACUUUUGAACAUGUAAAUAGUUUUUUCAGCGUAGUAAUAAGUUAAUUAAGUUGCAAUGAAAAACAUUGAAGUUGAUUUUGGCGAUCCUGCCCUUCUCAAAAAACCAAUCAAAGAAAUAGAAGAAAAGUGGAAACUCGUACCAGCGUUUUUGAAAGUUAAAGGUUUAGUAAAACAACACAUUGAUUCGUUUAAUUAUUUUAUUAAUGUUGAUAUCAAGAAAAUCGUGGAAGCAAACGACAAACUUGUGUGUGAUGCAGAUCCGUUAUUUUACGUCAAAUAUACAAAUGUUUAUGUGGGGCGACCGGAUGUCGAUGAGGGUUUCAAUAUUAGCAAGCCUACAACCCCCCAUGAGUGUAGGUUGAGAGAUAUGACAUACUCGGCCCCCAUUUCCGUGGAUAUUGAAUACACUCGAGGCACUCAGAGGGUGUCGAAAGCCGGGCUGAUGAUCGGCAGAAUGCCUAUUAUGCUCCGCUCCUCCAAUUGCGUCCUCACCAACAAAUCUGAGUACGAAUUGGCAAAAAUGAACGAAUGUCCCUUGGACCCCGGGGGCUAUUUUGUCGUCAAAGGCCAAGAGAAAGUCAUCUUAAUCCAAGAGCAACUCUCCAAAAACCGAAUGAUAGUCGAAGAGUGCAAAUUCGGGGUUCAAUGUUCCGUCACCAGCUCCACCCACGAGAAAAAAUCGCGAACUAACGUCCUCUGCAAGGGCACCAAAUACUACCUGGGGCACAACUCCCUAACCGACCUCAUCCCCGUUUCAAUCAUUUUCAAAGCAAUGGACGUGACAAGUGAUAAGGAAAUCUGCGAAUUGAUCGGAAUCGAGGACAUCUCCAAACUCACCCCAACACUGGAGGAGUGUCACACUUUGAAAAUUUACACCCAAUUGGGGGCACUUAAAUACAUAGGCUCGAAAUUAGUAGCGAAACGCUACGUGACGUCGGCCAGCAAAAUGAAAACGCCAGUGGACGAAGCGAGAGACGUUUUGGCGACCACUGUCCUCGCCCACGUCCCCGUGGAGAACUACAACUUCAGGAUGAAGGCCAUUUAUUUGGGGGUGAUGGUCAAAAGGGUGAUUGAGGCGCAAUCGGACAAGAAAUUCAUCGACGAUAAAGACUACUACGGCAACAAGCGUCUCGAGCUGGCCGGCUCGCUGCUCUCCCUCAUGUUCGAAGACGUUUUCAAGCGCUUCAACUGGGAACUAAAAUCCAUCGCUGAGAAAACCAUUCCGAAAAUUCGAGCGACUCAAUUCGAUGUUGUCAAAUAUAUGCGUUCGGAUCUGAUCACGAAUUGUCUCGUUUACGCAAUCUCGACGGGCAACUGGACCAUCAAACGGUUCCGAAUGGAGCGGUUAGGUGUCACUCAGGUGUUGUCACGUUUGAGUUACAUUUCAUCUUUGGGGAUGAUGACUCGAGUUAAUUCACAAUUCGAGAAAACGAGGAAAGUGUCAGGGCCGAGGUCGCUGCAGCCGAGCCAAUGGGGGAUGUUGUGUCCCAGUGACACCCCCGAAGGAGAGGCUUGCGGAUUGGUGAAGAACCUGGCUUUGAUGACGCACAUCACCACCGAGGUGGACGAAUAUCCUCUAAUCCGAUUGGCCAACAACGCCGGAGUGGUUGAUAUUAACAUGUCAUCAGGAAUGGCAAUCCACUCACCUGAGACUUUUUUCGUUUUUUUGAACGGUAAUAUUCUGGGGACGAUUCGCAACUACAAGAAACUCAUUCGGACGUUUCGGAUGUUACGACGUUCGGGGAUCAUUUCCGGUUACGUUUCCAUCUACCCGAACUUUUUGCAUCGUUGUGUUUACAUUAGUUCAGAUGGAGGGCGCUUGUGUCGCCCUUACAUCAUAGUCGAACAAGGGCGUCCUCUAGUGACACAACAACAUAUAAUCGAGCUUGAGAAAGGUAUUAGGAGUUUCGAGGAUUUCCUCCACGAUGGUUUAAUCGAAUUUCUUGAUGUUAAUGAGGAGAAUGAUAGUUUUAUUGCUUGUUAUGAGAAAGAUAUCAUUGAGUUGACAACACAUUUGGAAAUUGCGACUUUUACUUUGUUGGGGGUUUGUGCCGGUUUGGUGCCCUACCCCCACCAUAACCAAUCACCGAGGAAUACAUACCAAUGUGCUAUGGGUAAACAAGCAAUGGGUACCAUCGGUUAUAACCAAAGAAACCGAAUGGACACACUUUUGUAUAGUCUUGUUUACCCACAAGCCCCUAUGGUGAAAACAAAAUCGAUCGAAUUGAGUAACUUUGAUAAGCUUCCAGCCGGUCAAAACGCUACUAUAGCUGUCAUGAGCUACAGUGGUUACGACAUAGAGGACGCUCUUAUCAUAAAUAAAGCUUCAAUAGAUCGGGGCUUUGGUCGGUGUCUCGUCUACAGAAACGCCAAAUGCACGAUGAAACGCUACGCGAAUCAGACUUUUGAUCGCAUUCAGGGCCCUUUAAUCGACACCAACACAAACGCCCCCUUGUGGAAACACGCAAUACUAGACAUGGACGGUAUUGUAGCCCCUGGAGAGUCAGUAGAGAAUAAACAAGUCCUAGUUAAUAAGUCAGUCCCGACGGUUUCAAACCAAAGUACUUCAGUCGAGUACAAAGACACCCCAAUUAGCUACCGAAAUAACGAACCCAGCUAUAUCGAGAAAGUUUUAGUCAGUACGAAUGAGGAAGACACCACUAUAAUCAAAAUUUUGUUGAGGCAGACUCGGCGCCCCGAAAUCGGAGACAAAUUCAGUUCGAGACACGGUCAGAAGGGGGUUGUGGGGUUGGUCGUGGAGCAAGAAGACAUGCCGUUUAAUGAGUACGGGAUUUGCCCCGAUAUUAUUAUGAACCCGCACGGGUACCCCUCGCGGAUGACAGUCGGAAAAUUGAUUGAGCUCCUGGCUGGAAAAGCGGGGCUUGUUGAGGGGAAAUUCCACUACGGGACGGCUUUCGGUGGCUCGAAAGUCACCGAUGUGUGUGAAGAGUUGGCAAAGCAUGGGUUUAAUUACCAAGGGAAGGAUUUUUUCUACUCGGGAAUCACAGGGGAACCCCUCGAGGCGUACAUCUAUUCCGGGCCUGUCUACUACCAGAAGCUCAAACAUAUGGUUCAGGAUAAAAUUCAUGCGAGGGGGCGGGGACCGCGCGCUGUAUUAACAAGACAACCGACUGAAGGUCGGAGCAGAGAUGGAGGUCUCCGACUCGGUGAAAUGGAACGUGAUUGUCUUAUAGGAUAUGGGGCAAGCAUGAUGUUGGUAGAACGGUUAAUGGUUUCAAGUGACCAGUGUGAAGUUGACGUUUGUAAUCAGUGUGGCCGACUUGGGUACUGCGGUUGGUGUAAUAGUUGUAAGAGUUCAAGGGAAGUUUCAAGUAUUACAAUGCCCUAUGCGUGUAAAUUACUUUUAACCGAAUUGCAAGCCAUGAAUAUCACAGCGAGGCUUACUUUGAAUCACUAUUGAUUGUCUCAUUGUUCUACACGGUGUCUCAUCCAUUACAAAAGACUAAUAAGAAAAAUUUGAGAUAAAAAACAGGUUCGCAAGUGGGCGUAUCAGAAAAUCCGCAUUACGGACCUGUCACCUGUCAGUAAAUCUAG